CUCCUCUUGAUAUGAUAAGAGGUAGGCCCUGCCCAGUGCGUACUGUAAACGGCCGCAGUAUCUUAACUGUGCAAAGGUAGCAAAGUCAAUUGGCCUUUAAAUGAGGUCCAGAAUGAAUGGGUUGACAGGCUCUCAACUGUUCCAUUUCUAUAAACUGAACUUUAGGCCUAGGUUCAAACUCCUAGAUUUGAGAGAGGGACGAGAAGACCCUAUAGAUCUUAAACCCAUCACUUUUCAACCAAUCAGGGAUGGGUUUUGUUUGGGACGAAACACAACUAGCAAACGAUUGCUAACUAAAAAACUCAUUUGUUAAACAAAUGAUCCCCACCGUAGGGAAAAAGAAAAAAAGUUACCUUAGGGAUAACAGCGCGAUACCUCACUCUCGACCUUAGGGCGUGAGGAGUUUGCGACCUCGAUGUUGAAUUAAGUUUCCCUUUUUACGUAGAAGGAAAAAAGGUUUGUCUGUUCGACAAUUAAAAACUU
rnacentral:rRNA from 1 species